rnacentral:rRNA from 1 species
AUACGGAGGAUCCGAGCGUUAUCCGGAUUUAUUGGGUUUAAAGGGAGCGUAGGCGGACGCUUAAGUCAGUUGUGAAAGUUUGCGGCUCAACCGUAAAAUUGCAGUUGAUACUGGGUGUCUUGAGUACAGUAGAGGCAGGCGGAAUUUGUGGUGUAGCGGUGAAAUGCUUAGAUAUCACGAAGAACUCCGAUUGCGAAGGCAGCCUGCUGGACUGUAACUGACGCUGAUGCUCGAAAGUGUGGGUAUCAAACAGGAUUAGAUACCCUGGUAGUCCACACAGUAAACGAUGAAUACUUGUUUUCGGCGAUAUAAUGUCGGAGGCAAAGCGAAAGCGAUAAGUAUUCCACCUGGGGAGUACGCCGGCAACGGUGAAACUCAAAUG